GCAUCAAUGGUGUAGCGGUAACAUUGAGCCUUCCCAAGGCUUAGCUCCGGGUUCGACUCCCGGUUGAUGCA
rfam:Saitoella complicata NRRL Y-17804 DNA, contig: contig007, whole genome shotgun sequence.